rnacentral:rRNA from 1 species
GAUCCUGCUCAGGAUGAACGCUAGCUACAGGCUUAACACAUGCAAGUCGAGGGGCAGCAUGAACUUAGCUUGCUAAGUUUGAUGGCGACCGGCGCACGGGUGAGUAACACGUAUCCAACCUGCCGAUGACUCGGGGAUAGCCUUUCGAAAGAAAGAUUAAUACCCGAUGGCAUAGUUCUUCCGCAUGGUAGAACUAUUAAAGAACUUCGGUCAUCGAUGGGGAUGCGUUCCAUUAGG